rnacentral:ncRNA from 1 species
GAUAGAGGCGCGAGGUUCAUCAGUAAGUUCCUGCACAGGAGCAGCAUUCCGCAGGAGCCGAAAGGGGACAUCGCCGAAGCGAAGGGAAGCAGCUGCGCUUUGUUUCGCUGGGCCGUCGGAGAAGAUCCGCCGGACUGUCACGCAAGUGGAGCGCUAUCG